GGCUCCUUGAGUUGAUAACGUCAGUGGAACCCCCUCAGACAUGAAAUUUAAAAUCCUAAAUGAGAACUCGGUGGAAAUGUCAUGGACGAGACCCUCGUCGCGGAUAGACGGCUUCAGACUACAAGUGGUGUCAGACGCAGAUGAACCAGUCAGAGACUAAAAUCACUGACCUGACCCCUGACUUGGACCACUCGGUGUCCAUAAACUCCUAUUACGGGUCCGAGGAGAGCAUUCCCAUCACUGGACAACUGACCAGUAAGUGCA